rnacentral:rRNA from 1 species
ACUCCUACGGGAGGCAGCAGUGGGGAAUAUUGCACAAUGGGGGAAACCCUGAUGCAGCCAUGCCGCGUGUGUGAAGAAGGCCUUCGGGUUGUAAAGCACUUUCAGUAGGGAGGAAGGUAGUGUAGUUAACACCUGCAUUAUUUGACGUUACCUACAGAAGAAGCACCGGCUAACUCCGUGCCAGCAGCCGCGGUAAGUACGGAGGGUGCGAGCGUUAAUCGGAAUUACUGGGCGUAAAGCGCAUGCAGGCGGCCUGUUAAGUCAGAUGUGAAAGCCCGGGGCUUAACCUCGGAAUUGCAUUUGAAACUGGCAGGCUAGAGUCUUGUAGAGGGGUUAGAAUUUCAGGUGUAGCGGUGAAAUGCGUAGAGAUCUGAAGGAAUACCAGUGGCGAAGGCGGCCCCUGGACAAAGACUGACGCUCAGAUGCGAAAGCGUGGGAGCAAACGAGGAUUAGAUACCCCUGGUAGCGACUGA